rnacentral:rRNA from 1 species
UACGAAGGGGGCUAGCGUUGUUCGGAAUUACUGGGCGUAAAGCGCGUGUAGGCGGGUCUUUUAAGUCAGGGGUGAAAUGCCAAGGCUCAACCUUGGAACUGCCUUUGAUACUGGAGACCUUGAGUCCGGGAGAGGUGAGUGGAAUUGCGAGUGUAGAGGUGAAAUUCGUAGAUAUUCGCAAGAACACCAGUGGCGAAGGCGGCUCACUGGCCCGGAACUGACGCUGAGA